rnacentral:rRNA from 1 species
AUGGAAGGAUUAUUGCACUGGGAUUUUGCUCCUGGCCUUGCUUUGGCCGAUCAGGUGAGAAGGAAGUUUGGAUCAACAGUCCAUUUUUCUCCCUCUCGAGACACCAAGGAGUUCUUUUUGGUUGUUUCAUUCUCUUUGGCCUCCUUCCCCCUCACGGUGGAUUCUGUUGGAAUUGCUUUGCAAUGUUGCAUUGGAGGCAUUUGUUCUGGUUUUAGAGUGACUCCCAUCUCUGCAAGAUCUUUCCGGUUUUCUGUUGCCAAUAACAAGGUGGGGCAUUUCAUAUAUGGGCUCAAGGAUUGCAUUUGGCCUGACUUUGUAUGCCAUUUCCACUUGUUUAAUGGUCGUUUCUCCAAAGCCCUUCCUGUUGAUUCUCAUUGGCAUGCAGAUACACAACUUGGGGAAAUCUUACUCUAUCAACCGGUGGAAAGCUCCAUCGAACCUUUCAAAUAUGAGCCAACCUUUGGAUCAUUCUUCUGCCAUGGAGGUAGCAAAAUUUGGUUUGGUUAA